GUUAUGCUGUCGUCACAUUUUACCGCGCAGCUCGUUCUCCCAAGAUGCAGCAGGAACUCCGGAGGCAACGUGCAGAGUCCAGACUCCUGCCGCCUCUCAUUCAGGCUGCAGGCAAUCUGAAAUCAACACACCUGACGCUGAUAAAGACUCCACUCCCUUCAUAAGCCAGCGCGUCCUGCGUUGCAUUGCCAGAACGUAGCUACCUGUCCCAGUAAUCGUUUCCCUAUGUCCUGGUUUCGAGUUCUGUGUCCCAUCUCCCUUGAUCCCCUCUGGACUCCCUGCUGUCUUCCUGGAUCUUGACCUCCCGCCUGGACACGGACCUUGACCUCUCGCUUGCCCACGGACCUCCGAGCUUGCCUUGCCCUCUCUGGACUUCCACCUCUCGCUCAACACGUACCUUCAACAACUCCUGGCAACAGAGGCUGGAAUAAGUCCAGCGCCCCACAAAGCCAACGUACUUAAAGUUUGGAUGCAGUGUAUACCACACAUAAUAAUAUUAUAAAAGAAACUUCCCCCCCAAAAAAAACGAUCAGAUCUGUUUUUGUCAUUUCAAAUGAAAGACCUGGAAACAUCCACUGAGAUGAUU